GUUGAAGAUAUGCCAAACAAAUUGUGCCUCUCUAUACAGACAGAUUUCAGGUCUCAAUUUCGACUUCAAAGGUCAACAUAUCACUGAUAUCAGGAAUCCUGUGAAACUGUGACCCCAUGUAUGGUACGUGAGCGCACAAUGUCUGUUGACAAAAGGAUAUUGGCAACUUGUGGAUGCUUGGUAUCCAAGAAUCCUACAGGAGCGUGGCUGACCGAUUUGGAACAAACAAAGGGACUUUACAUCUCACAGUCAUUUCAACAUGUAGAGUCUUGUCAACAUUGAUGGAUCAGUACAUCAGAUUUCCAGAAUCUCGUCAUGAGCUGAAGACCAUUGCCGAUGGAUUUCAUCAACUAUGUGGAAUGCCUGGCGUUGUAGGGGCUGUUGAUGGAUCCCACGGUGCAUGUCCUGCUCCAAUAUUCCAGCAUAGGUCCUUGUUUAUCAACAGUUUAGUUGUUCAAGCAGUCUGUGACAGUAACUUGAAAUGUUUGGACAUAUACUCUGGAUGGCAAAGUUCUGUGCAUGAUGCCCAUGUAUGUAUGAACAGCCCAGUAGCGCAUUAAAUUGAAAAUCUUCGGAAUGAGUACCAUGUUCUCGAGGAUUCAGCAUGCCACCUGACAAGAAAUCUGCUUGUUCUGUAUCGAGGCCAUGAACAUUUGUACCAUUUGCGAGAGAAAUUCAACAAGUGCCAUUCAUCUAAGAGUUGAUGUGGAACGGGCAAUUGGUCUCUUGAAAUGCAAAUUCAGGCGGCCAAAAUACUUAAACAUGCUAGUAGA